CGCAGCCGCGGUAAUUCCAGCUCCAAUAGCGUAUAUUAAAGUUGCUGCAGUUAAAAAGCUCGUAGUUGAAUUUCGGGAUCAAUAUGUUGGUCGUGCCUCGGUACGUACUAGCUUAUUGGUUUCCCCCUUCUGACGAACCAUGAUGUCAUUUAUUUGGUGUUAUGGGAAAUCAGGACUGUUACUUUGAAAAAUUAGAGUGUUUAAAGCAGGCUCACGCUUGAAUACAUUAGCAUGGAAUAAUGAAAUAGGACGUUUGAUUCUAUUUUGUUGGUUUCUAGGAUCGACGUAAUGAUUAAUAGGGAUAGUUGGGGGCAUUAGUAUUCAAUUGUCAGAGGUGAAAUUCUUGGAUUUAUUGAAGACUGACUACUGCGAAAGCAUUUGCCAAGGAUGUUUUCAUUAAUCAAGAACGAAAGUUAGGGGAUCGAAGACGAUCAGAUACCGUCGUAGUCUUAACCAUAAACUAUGCCGAC
rnacentral:rRNA from 1 species